AGGCACUAUUUUACUAUUUCCCCAGUAGGAAGACAGGCUCAGAGAGUUCACAGAACGGACUCCAACAUUGUAUCUCCUAUACGGUAGAGCCAGGCUCAAGAUUCAGCCACGUCUGAUCUCAAAUCCCGUCUUCCUACCACCAUGCUGCUGUCACUCCUCUCUCAGCUGUUACCAGAGUCCUAACAGAGGCUGCUCAGUCCAGGAGUGCAUUGCAUGUGCUUCUCCCGGCCCCUGGGCCACCCCGCUUUAAUGUGUCCCUGGACGGACGCCCGCAGUGCGACCUCUUAGUUGUUACACGUCCCAGUUCCACUCUGGUUCUCACGCGGGGCCGGCCCUGAUGAAUCAGCUCCCAGUAACAGGCUCAGUUUGAAUUUCAGCAGAAUUCUCUAAAAACAAUAACCAGAUGCAAUUCAACUCACAUCGUGUCCACAUAAGGAAUCCAUUCCAAGAGAAGUCAGAGGAUGCACUGCGAUGCUCAGUCAGAUGAAUGACUCCUCAUCUGCCCUGGGCUCGCUUUAGAGCUCAAAGAAGAAAUAACAUCGAGAUUAAUUUGCGAGCUCAGUCUUUGACUCCGGUCUCAGGAAGAAUGCACGUAUAAUUAAGUCUUAUAAUGAUGACCCCUUAGAUCAUAGAUCACUCACGGGUAGUGGCUCCUUCCAGACACCUGCCACACUCAAGGCAAUUUCCUCUUUUCCGUCUCAAGAACUGUUUCAGACUUUGCUUUCAUACAGGCUGCUCAGAAGAGCCGGGCCACCAUCCUUGGAGUAAAACGGGAUCCUCCAGGAAUUACAUCAUUUAUUUUUCAACACAGAUUAAUUUAAUUUGGUUUAGUUUUACAAGGGCGUGUGAUCAUAGAUUUGAUAACCAAAUAGAUGCCCUGACGUAAAUUUCAGUCCUGGUUUCGCUUUCUUCCAGUGAGAAAAACAAAGACUCUCAAAGCUCCAAAUAACCCCAUGAUUUGGGAUGAUUGAUUAUGGGAAUGCUGCUUUUACUGUACAUCCAAGAGAGAAGAGGAUUUUCUCCUAAAUAUAUAACUACAGAAAUGGUAUUUUUGAAGCUCUCCUUGCUACUCUGUGUGCUGAAAUCUGAAGACUUCUUCCUCCCUCCAGCCGACAGGUGCUCCCACUGCAGAAACACGAUGUCCCAGGGACUUUCCUGUGCUCUACUUUGAUUCCAAUUUGCUCAUUACAGUGAAAUAGGACCCCCGAAAUGUCAAAGAAUCAUCCUUUUCACCUUAGCUCUUUUAAGCGGUUCUAAACAGAGAUUAUUUCUUCACAACUAAACCUGGGAAAUAACAGCUUUGUCCAUUCAAAGCACACCUGUUGUAAAGAGAUACUUUUUCUUUCUUUCUAGUUUUUGCCCCUGAGCAACUUCUCAGUAAUUCAACAAAUAAUUUUCAGGGUGUUGAGAGAUUCAGAGAUUUUUGGAACUAGGAUUCAGGAAGAUAGGCCCUGUAUUGGAGGAGUAUCUAGUCCCCAGCAAAAGUGAAACGAAAUGAAAACAGCAACAAAUAACAGAUAAAUAAGUCACAGUAAGACAUGAGGUGAGGGCCAUAAUCAAUAUACUUAUGAAUGAAUGGAAGCCUAGGGAGGGGGACAGUUACUUCUGCUGGGUUUGUGAAGUCUGGAAGGGCAUCAGCCAGAGAAGGUAACAAUUUUUCUAGGCUGAAAAGUGAGGCAUCAUUGGUUCCCUGUAGGAGUGGGGUGGGUGUGGAACAGCGAUCCAGGGAAGGAAGACCUUGAGCAGGAACUCUGAGGUGGUAGUCUUCCCAUUCACAGAAUGUAGUGGGCUGGGGCUGGCUGGAGAUCUAGGCUUGGGGCAAAUGUUCCAGAACAUAAAUAUCCUUAUGAAGGAGUUUGGACUUUACCUUACAUGCAUGAAGGAGGCAUCGAGGUUUGUAAUUAUGGGUCUAAUAUGUGCUGCAGAAAUAUUUUGGUGUCCAGGAGAGGUGGAAGUCAACACUUGCACAUCUCUGUGUAGCACAGACAGUAAAUUGCCACC